AUGGGGAAUAUUGGACAAUGGGGGGAACCCUGAUCCAGCCAUGUCGCGUGUGUGAAGAAGGCCUUUUGGUUGUAAAGCACUUUAAGCGAGGAGGAGGCUACCGAGAUUAAUACUCUUGGAUAGUGGACGUUACUCGCAGAAUAAGCACCGGCUAACUCUGUGCCAGCAGCCGCGGUAAUACAGAGGGUGCAAGCGUUAAUCGGAUUUACUGGGCGUAAAGCGCGCGUAGGUGGUCAAUUAAGUCAAAUGUGAAAUCCCCGAGCUUAACUUGGGAAUUGCAUUCGAUACUGGUUGGGUAGAGUAUGGGAGAGGAUGGUAGAAUUCCAGGUGUAGCGGUGAAAUGCGUAGAGAUCUGGAGGAAUACCGAUGGCGAAGGCAGCCAUCUGGCCUAAUACUGACACUGAGGUGCGAAAGCAUGGGGAGCAAACAGGAUUAGAUACCCCAGUAGUCC
rnacentral:rRNA from 1 species